rnacentral:rRNA from 1 species
GACGAACGCUGGCGGCGCGCCUAACACAUGCAAGUCGAACGAGAGAUGAGGAGCUUGCUCUUCAGAUCGAGUGGCGAACGGGUGAGUAACGCGUGGAUAACCUGCCUCACACAGGGGGACAACAGUUGGAAACGACUGCUAAUACCGCAUAACACAAGUAAUUCGCAUGAAUAACUUGCCAAAGAUUAUAUCGGUGUGAGAUGGAUCCGCGUCUGAUUAGCCAGUUGGCGGGGUAACGGCCCACCAAAGCGACGAUCAGUAGCCGACCUGAGAGGGUGACCGGCCACAUUGGGACUGAGACACGGCCCAAACUCCUACGGGAGGCAGCAGUGGGAAUAUUGCAACAAUGGGCGCAAGCCUGAUGCAGCGACGCCGCGUGAAGGAUGAAGUA